rnacentral:lncRNA from 1 species
AACCCCGCCCCGUUAUGUUAUGGAAGAAUUGAACUUAUUGCUGGGCUGGUUAUUCAGAGCCAGCAAUUGGCUGUCGGAUUUCAUCCCGUAAAUAGAAGAAGAUCGCUUUGGGGCAAUGUUAGGCAAAUCUCAAACAAAUGUCUAACAAAUCCCAAACAAAUUUCUUAUGGGAUUUGAGUCAUUAUUCCUAAUAAUAUCGACCUUGACUCAAAUUCCAUCAAUCAUUUAUCUUCAUGCUACACAUGCUUGGCUCCACUUGCAAUGAAAGUCUUACAAUUAUCUUCUCUUCUCUUAUGUGUCUUCACGUUUUAAGCAAAUCGAUCCUCAAUCCUCAAAACAUGAACUCAAACUCUUCUCUUGAAUCACGCUCCUCUAAGCUUGCAUCUUCUCAUGUCUCGAACCAUGCUUUUCCCAUCUCUUGAACCUUCGGCCCUUCUCACAUAACUCUGAUACAACUUGUUAAGGAUCACCACAGCUCUGAUAUCAUUUAUUAAGCUAAAAGGCCUUAAUCCAAUCAUACUAGCGGAAGCAUAAUCAAAUAAUCACAGCUCUGAUAUCACUUGUUAGGCCAAAAUGCCCUAAUCCAAUCAUACUAACAGAAGCAUAAUCAAAUAAUCAAUGAAUCAAAUACACAAAAGAUAAUAAUUUAACGUGAUUCGAUCUAACUGACUUACAUCCACGGAUAAGAAACAAUAUCCACUAGUUGUAGAGAAUUAUAAACAUACAUCAAAAUAAUCUCACCCAACAACCCCGCCCCGUUAUGUUAUGGAAGAAUUGAACUUAUUGCUGGGCUGGUUAUUCAGAGCCAGCAAUUGGCUGCCGGAUUUCGUCCCGCAAAUAGAAGAAGAUCGCUUCGGGGGUCACUGUGGCGUGGCUGAAUGUAGAGCAGUCCGCCCCUACAGCCUUUGAUCAGUAGAUUAUUUAGAACUUCGGAAGAUGGUCAAUAAUU